CCCAGCUGAACUCGAAGGUGGAGCCUGAGGUGUGCACAGAGGUGGGGCUGAUGCGGGCAGCUCCAGGGUUUCCUGCCCCGCUCCCAGGGGCUGGCAGGAAGGCAGGAAGGCAGGAAGGGCGGGGUGGGGAGCAGAGGAAGGGAAACGGCUCCGACUCCGACUCAUGUAUUUACUUUCUCUGCUCAGGGAGGAAAACAGCAAGGCCGGGGACCCAGAACUGCAGGGGAGAGGGCCCUCCUGUGAGGGGGCUCAGCCAGAAGGUGGCGCAAUGUCGGACACCAUCAUGAUAAUGGGGAAGCCCAUGAAGGUGACCAAGGACAGCUGCCACGAGAGGCUGAACAUGAAGACCACCACGCCCGUGACUUUGACCGUGUUCCGCAGGAAGAUGUUGAUGUUCUGGGAGACCAGGUCGCUGACCAUGGUGGUGUCCGAGCAUCAGGCCCUCCCACAGCACAGAGGAAGCAGCUGAGGUGCAGGAAGGGGGAGAGGCUCGCUCGGCGCCCCACACUGUAUCCAUAACGGAGCUGGAGCCAAACUCACAGCUGCUCCCUGUCACUGGCAGAGGGUGAGUCCCCUCUCCCCUCAGAGGGAUCCUAAUCUGGGCUGAGGGGGAGGAGGGAGG